rnacentral:rRNA from 1 species
UUAGGCGGACGGGUGAGUAACGCGUGGAAAACCUGCCGUAUACUGGGGGAGUAACACUUAGAAAUAGGUGCUAAUACCGCAUAAGCGCACAGCUUCGCAUGAAGCGGUGUGAAAAACUCUGGUGGUAUACGAUGGUUCCGCGUCUGAUUAGCUAGUUGGUGGGGUAAUGGCCUACCAAGGCAACGAUCAGUAGCCGGCCUGAGAGGGUGAACGGCCACAUUGGGACUGAGACACGGCCCAAACUCCUACGGGAGGCAGCAG